CGGGUGAGUAACGCGUGGAUAACCUGCCUCACACAGGGGGAUAACAGUUAGAAAUGACUGCUAAUACCGCAUAAGCGCACGGUACCGCAUGGUACAGUGUGAAAAACUCCGGUGGUGUGAGAUGGAUCCGCGUCUGAUUAGGUAGUUGGUGAGGUAAUGGCCCACCAAGCCGACGAUCAGUAGCCGACCUGAGAGGGUGACCGGCCACAUUGGGACUGAGACACGGCCCAA
rnacentral:rRNA from 1 species